rnacentral:rRNA from 1 species
GACGGAGGAUGCAAGCGUUAUCCGGAAUCAUUGGGCGUAAAGCGUCCGUAGGUGGCUUGGUAAGUCGGCUGUCAAAUCACAUGGCUCAACCAUGUAACGGCAGUGGAAACUGCUAGGCUAGAGUGCGGUAGGGGUAGCGGGAAUUCCCGGUGUAGCGGUGAAAUGCGUAGAUACUGGGAAGAACAUCGGUGGCGAAAGCGCGCUACUGGGUCGCAACUGACACUGAGGGACGAAAGCUAGGGGAGCGAAUGGG